AUUGAACGCGGGCGGCAGGCCUAACACAUGCAAGUCGAACGGUAGCACAGAGAGCUUGCUCUCGGGUGACGAGUGGCGGACGGGUGAGUAACGUCUGGGAAACUGCCCGAUGGAGGGAGAUAACUACUGGAAACGGUAGCUAAUACCGCAUAACGUCGCAAGACCAAAGUAGGGGACCUUUCGUCCUCACACCCUCCGGUGUGCCAAGAUGGGAUUAGCUAGUAGGUGGGGUAAUGGCUCACCUAGGCGACGAUCCCUAGCUGGUCUGAGAGGAUGACCAGCCACACUGGAACUGAGACACGGUCCAGACUCCUACGGGAGGCAGCAGUGGGGAAUAUUGCACAAUGGGCGCAAGCCUGAUGCAGCCAUGCCGCGUGUAUGAAGAAGGCCUUCGGGUUGUAAAGUACUUUCAGCGGGGAGGAAGGCGGUGAAGUUAAUAGCUUCACCGAUUGACGUUACCCGCAGAAGAAGCACCGGCUAACUCCGUGCCAGCCGCCGCAGUAA
rnacentral:rRNA from 1 species